UACGUAGGGUGCGAGCGUUAAUCGGAAUUACUGGGCGUAAAGCGUGCGCAGGCGGUGAUGUAAGACCGAUGUGAAAUCCCCGGGCUUAACCUGGGAACUGCAUUGGUGACUGCAUCGCUCGAGUAUGGCAGAGGGGGGUAGAAUUCCACGUGUAGCAGUGAAAUGCGUAGAGAUGUGGAGGAAUACCGAUGGCGAAGGCAGCCCCCUGGGUCAAUACUGACGCUCAUGCACGAAAAGCGUGGGGAGCAAACAGG
rnacentral:rRNA from 1 species